UCAGCUCGUGUUGACUACGUCCCUGCCCUUUGUACACACCGCCCGUCGCUCCUACCGAUUGAAUGAUCCGGUGAAGUGUUCGGAUUGCGUCAACGAGGGUGGUUCACCGCCGACGAUGUCGUGAGAAGUUCACUGAACCUUAUCAUUUAGAGGAAGGAGAAGUCGUAACAAGGUUACUGUAGGUGAACCUGCGGUAGGAUCAUUG
rnacentral:ncRNA from 1 species